GUUCGCUAUCGAACCCUUCUUCAAUAUAUAUACUCUUUUUUCGUUGAUGUUUCGAGCGCUUCAAAGGGAUUGGGUUGAGGUCAAAAGCUUGGAGACCGUUCACAUGCUGUUCUUGUAUUCUGAAGGAAGCGGUUAAGAGGAAUACAGGAGGAGGCAGGGUUUAUUGCGGGAGUAAUAUUUGGGAGCUUGAUCUAUAUAUAAGUUUUGAUUCCCAGUGAUGGUGCUUGUGGCUAGAGAUUACAAAUGUGCAAGGAUUUUUCUUCCUUCUUGGGCAUUCAUUUUUGUGGAGACUUGGUUAACAUAUUCCAUCUUAUCCAAGGUCUAUGGCCACUAGGUUCUUUCAUUCUCAGAUAUUCCGACAUUCUUAUCCAUCGAGGUGGUCGCUCACAUGGGCGUCAGCAAACAAGAGCUAAAGGGGUGAAACAGGAGAAAUGGUGGAGAGUAGCAGGUGAUAACUCAAACCGCAUGGACUGCCAGUUUAUAACCAAACAAAAGUAGACCGCAAAAGAUAGCCAAGCAGUAGGAGAUUGAAACUGAAGGCUUCCAAGCCAAAACACCACAUACAGCAGAAGGAACAUACCAUGGUGGCAUGAACCAGAUUGGCUUCAUCAGACUCUCUCUGGAGCUCAUUAUAAUAACAACUUCUAUUUUACAGAAGGGCACUCUUUUCUUUUAAAAUCUCUCUCUCUCUCUCUCUCUCUCUCUCUCCCACACACGUGCACACACACACUCACUCACUCACUCUCACUCUCAUGCAAACACUCACUGUUUUUCUCAAAAAAGAAAUAUCACUAUUUAUACUCUUAUUUCACCAUGUUUACCAGGCAUUCCAAUCAAUGGCGCUAAAAUUGCAUCGGCAGAAGGAUGAGAAGGUGAUGUUGGAACUCAGAAAUCAGAAUAUGUUUCACCUGCCGGUGGAUGUUCUUCAUACAAUUUCAUGAUGACUCCUGAUGUCAGAAUAUCUGUGUGCUUGUAUGCAAGAGAUUACAGCUUAUAGUUCGUCAUAUGUAUCCUGCAUACCAAGCUCAUUAUUAGUGCAUUAUUAUACCAUUAGAAUUGCAUAUGCUACCAUGCAGCCCCAUGAUUUUCUGGCUCCAAUAUCAUUUGGAUGGCUAUUGGUCAAGAAUUCUACCAAAGUUUUAAUCAUUUUAGUUGAAAACUUUUACUUUUGCUCAAAAUUCCAGCAUUGUAGUAAAAGUAGGGCAUAUAUUUGCAUAACCCUCUUUGAAAAGCAUAUGUGUGCUAUAAGAAAUAUU